GACGAAGGGGCUAGCGUUGUUCGGAAUUACUGGGCGUAAAGGGCUCGUAGGUUGCCAACUAAGUCAGACGUGAAAUCCCUCGGCUUAACCGGGGAACUGCGUCUGAUACUGGAUGGCUUGAGUUCGGGAGAGGGAUGCGGAAUUCCAGGUGUAGCGGUGAAAUGCGUAGAUAUCUGGAGGAACACCGGUGGCGAAGGCGGCAUCCUGGACCGAUACUGACGCUGAGGAGCGAAAGCCA
rnacentral:rRNA from 1 species